rnacentral:ncRNA from 2 species
AAAUAAUCAUGUAACUGGCGGCAAUGGAAUUAACCAUAGGAAGCAUGAUAUAGGAAAAGUAUCGACCGUCUGGGUAAAAUAG